rnacentral:rRNA from 1 species
UACAUUGGGUGCAAACGUUGCUCGGAAUUACUGGGCGUAAAGCGUGCGCAGGCGGCUUUGCAAGACAGAUGUGAAAUCCCCGGGCUUAACCUGGGAAUGGCAUUUGGGACUGCAAGGCUUGAGUGCGGCAGAGGAGACUAGAAUUCCUGGUGUAGCAGUGAAAUGCGUAGAUAUCAGGAGGAAUACCGAUGGCGAAGGCAGGUCUCUGGGCUGACACUGACGCUCAUGCACGAAAGCGUGGGGAGCAAACAGG